rnacentral:rRNA from 1 species
GACGAGGGGUCCUAGCGUUGUUCGGAUUCAUUGGGCGUAAAGGGUGCGUAGGUGGCGCCGUAAGUCGGGUGUGAAAUUUCGGAGCUUAACUCCGAAACUGCAUUCGAUACUGCGGUGCUUGAGGACUGGAGAGGAGACUGGAAUUCAUGGUGUAGCAGUGAAAUGCGUAGAGAUCGUAAGGAAGACCAGUGGCGAAGGCGGGUCUCUGGACAGUUCCUGACACUGAGGCACGAAGGCCAGGGGAGCAAACGGG